GAUGAACGCUGGCGGCGUGCCUAAUACAUGCAAGUCGAGCGAACGGACGAGAAGCUUGCUUCUCUGAUGUUAGCGGCGGACGGGUGAGUAACACGUGGAUAACCUACCUAUAAGGCUGGGAUAACUUCGGGAAACCGUAGCUAAUACCGGAUAAUAUUUUGAACCGCAUGGUUCAAAAGUGAAAGACGGUCUUGCUGUCACUUAUAGAUGGAUCCGCGCUGCAUUAGCUAGUUGGUAAGGUAACGGCUUACCAAGGCAACGAUGCAUAGCCGACCUGAGAGGGUGAUCGGCCACACUGGAACUGAGACACGGUCCAGACUCCUACGGGAGGCAGCAGUAGGGAAUCUUCCGCAAUGGGCGAAAGCCUGACGGAGCAACGCCGCGUGAGUGAUGAAGGUCUUCGGAUCGUAAAACUCUGUUAUUAGGGAAGAACAUAUGUGUAAGUAACUGUGCACACCUUGACGGUACCUAAUCAGAAAGCCACGGCUAACUACGUG
rnacentral:rRNA from 1 species